CAGUCUCUAGAGUACAAAAAAACACUGAGUGAGCAACAGUUCUGUGCGUGGAAACAAACACCUUGUUGAUAAGAGAGGGUCAGAGGAACAUGGACAGAUUGGUUCAAUUUUUAUUUAUUUAUUUUUUGCCAGGAAGGAUAUAGUAACUCAUAUAAUCGCUCUUUACAAUCGUGGUGAGCAGAAAAGCAACUCAGCAUGCAACAGAGAGAGAAUAACACGUUGGGUUCCACUCCUGCAGCCAAGAACAGGAAUCUGAGAAUCAAGAACAAGUUCCUCUUGAAGUGAGCGCUUGUUACCUGAGAUGGAAUAUUUUUCAGCACGAUCAGCAAUUUCUUUGGAAAACCCGGACGUUAUCAUCGCAGCAGUUUAGUGUCUUCACUGGCAGACGUUCUGGCAAACAGAGGAGCUUCUUUCAUCACAGGCUGUAGGAGAUCUUUGCUGCCUCAUGGGUAGACCAUAUCGCCUACAGAAACAAAGCCAUGUCUGUAGAAUCAAGCCUCCUGUUUGGCAGAGAAGAAAGUGUGUUUCAGCUCCAGGAAAGUUUCCCUUUAGCAAAUCCAACAGCCGCAGGGAGACGAUGGAAGUGGCCCUGUACGCCUUUUUUUUUAAACUUAUUUCUUCUAAUUCUUUGGUUAGAUCACCAUUGUGAACACCACCAUGAUCAAAUGUCCUUUCAUGACUUUCAUUACUCCACCUACUCAGAACAGCUGUCAUAACUUCAUGACUAUAUUCUACUGCUUAGCUAUGUAGCAUGCUAGGUAGCGAGCUAAUUAAUAAUUUACGUAACAUAUCACUGCAGAAUGUACUGUAUGCACAUGCUUUGCUUUUCAAUCUCUGUUAUACAAUGCAAUUUGCCACAUAGACAUAUGUGUGACACACUUCUAAGUUAAAAAAACAAAAAAACAAAGCAACAACCCUUUUUGAUGUAUAUUCAAAUAACUACAAUACAAACACAAGGUAAUUAAUGUUCAAACUGUUAAAAUUUAUUGUUUUGGUUUUUUUUUUUUGGUAAAUACCCGCUCGUUCUGAAUUUAAUGCCUCCAACACAUUUGAAAGCAGUUGGGACAGAGUUAUGUUCACCACUGUGUUACAUCACCUUUUCUUUUAAAGGAGAACUGAAGUCAUUUUUAAACUUGCUUUAUUUCUUAAUUAACGUGUUAUUCAAUUACGUUUUCGGUUUUAGUAACCUUAUAUCGUGACUCGUAUUGGCAACUAAUCGCAAUUAAAUAUUAUACUUAUCCGCCUAUUCAUUUUUUAGCCAUGUUUAAUUUAGUUCAUUUGGUCCACGGCAGGCGUCGCUUAUCCACACGAUCUUCACGAGACUUGUGCGAGACUUCGAAGCGUGAAGUGUCAGUGCCGCCAUUUUGAAAACUGUUUUCCAAAUGAAAUAUUGCACAAAAACGAGUUUAAAUGACAAUUACUACCUACUUUUUUCAAACUUUCCUGAUUGCUAUCAAAACAAACAAAACUUCCGGCUUGAUUACAUCAGCAUUCGAAAGACAGCGUGCGCAUCUUUUGACAACGUUGGCAGAUGUCGGUCACUUUGAUUUCCGUUGUACGUUUUACUUCCGUCCUACGAUGUCUCGCACAGGUCUCAACGAAUCUCGUUUACGGCCGUCACUUUGAUAUAUGGACUGAUAUAUUACAGAGCAUAUUUCAAACACUCAUAACUUGCUAUAGCAGCGACAAAAUAUCGAUCAAAAAUGCAUUCCGAUAUUUAAUAAAAUGACAUAGAAUUUUGAUAAUAAAAAAUUUUGCCUUCAGUUCUCCUUUAACAACACUCACUAAGAAUUUGGGAACUAAGGACACUAAUUGUUGAAGUUUUGAAAGUGAAAUUCUUGCUUGAUAUACAACUUCAGUUGUUCAAUAGUUCGGAGUCUCCAUUGUCGUAUUUUGCACUUCAUAAUGUGCCACACAUUUUCAAUGAGAGGCAGGCAGGCCAGUUUAGCACUUGCACUCUUUUAUUAUGAAGACAUGCUGUUGGAACACGUACAGAAUGUAGCUUGGUGUUAUCUUGCUGGAAUAAGCAGGGACGUCCAUGAAAAAGACAUCAUCUGGAUGGCAGCAUGUUGCUCCAAAACCUGUCUGUACCUUUCAGCAUUAAUGGUGCCGUCACAGAGGUACAAGUUACCAUGAGCACUAACACAUCACUAUACCAUCACAGAUGCUGGCUUUUGAAUUUCGUGUUUGUAACAAUUUGGAUGGUCCUUUUCAUCUUUACUGUGUGGGACAAAAUGGCAAUGAUUUCCAAAAACAAUCUGAAAUGCGGACUCGUCAGACCACAGCACACUUUUCCACUUUGCGUCCUUCCAUCUUAGAUGAGCUUGAACCCAGAAAAUUUGGCGGUGUUUCGAGAUGUUGUUGAUAUAUAGCUUUCACUUUGCACGGUAGCGUGCCUGAGCUCAUGUAGUAAUAUCCUUAAUACAGUCAUAUUAGUUUUAUCAGUUUGACCUGAGGGGUCAAAUGUCACGGGCAUUCACUGUUGGUUUUUGGCCUUGCCUCUUAUGUGCCAAGAUUUUUCUGGAUUCUCUGAAUCUUUUGAUGAUGUUAUGGAUUGUUGAUGGUGAAAUCCUUAAAUUCGUUGCAAGUGUACUUUGAGAAACAUUGUUCUUAAACCUUUGGACUGUUUGCCCACGCAGCUUUUCACAAACUGGUGAACCUCGACCCUUCCUUGCUUCUGAAUGACUAAAACUUUCCAAUAACCAAUUAACCUUUUUACCUGUAAAAUGUUCCAAACAGAUGUUUUUUGAGCUUCAACAACUUUUCCAGUCUUUUGUUGCCCUGUCCCAACCUUUUUUUGGAAUGUGUUGCAGUCAUCAAAUUCAGAAUGAGUGUACAGUGUCUUGCAAAAGUAUUCAUCCCCCUUGGUGUUUGUCCUGUUUUGUCGCAUUACAAGCUGAAAUUAAAAUGGAUUUUUGGAGGGUUAGAACCAUUUGAUUUACACAACAUGCCGACCACUUUAAAGGUAAGAUGAAAAAACAGAAAUCUGUAGUGUGCAUAGGUAUUCACCCCCUUUUGUAUGAAACCCCUAAAUAAGAGCUGGUCCAAACAAUUCACUUCAUAAGUCACAUAAUUAGUUGAUUAAGAUCCACCUGUGUGCAAUCAAAGUGUCACAUGAUCUGUCACAUGAUGUCUGUAUAAAUCACCCUGUUCUGGAAGGACCCUGACUCUGCUACACUACUAAGCAAGCAACAUGAAAACCAAGGAGCCUCCAAACAGGUCAGAGACAAAGUUGUGAAGUAUGGAUCAGGGUUGGGUCAUAAAAAAUAUCUCAAACUUUGAAUAUCCCACAGAGCUCCAUUAAAUCCAUUAUAGCAAAAUGGAAAGAAUAUGGCACCACUACAAACCUGACAAGAGAAGGCCCCGCCCACCAAAACUCACAGACCGGGCAAGGAGGGCAUUAAUCAGAGAUGCAACAAAGACACCAAAGAUAACACUGAAGGAGCUGCAAAGAUCCACAGCGGAGAUGGGAGUCUCUGUCCAUAGGACCACUUUAAGCCGUACACUCCACAGAGUGGGGCUUUAUGGAAGAGUGGCCAGAAAAAAGCCAUUGCUUAAGAAAACCCGUUUGGAGUUUGCCCAACAGCAUGUGGCAGACUCCCCAAACACAUGGAAGAAGAUUCUCUGGUCAGAUGAGACUAAAAUUGAUCUUUUUGGCCAUAAUGGGAAAUGCUAUGUGUGGCACAAACCCAACAUCCUGAGAACACCAUUCUUACAGUGAAGCAUGGUGGUGGCAGCAUCAUGCCGUGGGGCUGUUUUUCAUCUGCAGGGACUGGAAAGCUGGUCAGGACUGAAGGAAAGAUGGAUGGCACUAAAUACAGAGCAAUUCUGGAGGAAAGCCUGUUUGACUCAGCCAGAGGUUUGAGACUGGGAUGAAGGUUCACGUUCCAGCAGGACAAUGACCCUAAACAUACUGUGAAAGCUACAGUGGAGUGGUUUAAAGGGAAACAUUUAAAUGUCUUGGAAUGGCCUAAUCAAAGCCCAGACCUCAAUCCAAUUGAGAAUCUGUGGCAUAACUUGAAGAUUGCUGUACACCAACACAACCCAUCUAACUUGAAGGAGUUGGAGCAGUUUUGCCUUGAGGAAUGGGCAAAAAUCUAGAUGGGCUAGAUGUGCUAAGCUAAUAGAGACAUACUCCAAGAGACUUGCAGCUGUAAUUGCAGCAAAAGGUGGCUCUACAAAGUAUUGACUUUGGGGGUGAAUACCGGACAAACAGGGCAAACACCAAAGGGGAUGAAUAUUUUUGCAUGACACUGUAUAUUUACAAUAAAGUUUAUCAGUUUGAACAAUGAAUAUCUUGUCUUUGUAUUGUAUUGAAUUGAAUAUGGGUUGAAACAGAUUUGCAAAUCAUUACAUUCUGAUCGUAUUUACAUUUUACACAACGUCCCAACUUUUUUGGAAUUGGGGUUGUAUUUAAUACAUUGUGCAUAUUCCAUUUCUAACCCUUUAGUGUGUAUAUGACUUUGUUUGUUUAUUUAUUUGCAUAAUGACAUAAAUUACAUUUCUUCUGAUGGGGUGGACGGCCCAACUUUCUGGAGAUAUACUGCCCCCUGUUUGUCUGGAGUAUGAAUUUGACAGGUGGUCAAUUCUUACAUAAUAGCACCUUUAAUGUAAAUUAUUCAUGCUCAUUUACAGUGAGUGUCUAUGAUGAUUAGUCAUAAUAUUUUGUGAUGUGGGGUAUUAACUGCAUGUUUAAUUUUAAAACUUUUUUAUCUAUAAUGCACUUUUUUUUAUCACAAUUGUUUCACAUCAACAAACAUACACC